rnacentral:rRNA from 1 species
AACGAACGCUGGCGGCAGGCCUAACACAUGCAAGUCGAGCGAGGACUUCGGUCCUAGCGGCGGACGGGUGAGUAACGCGUGGGAACGUGCCCUUUGCUUCGGAAUAUCCCUUGGAAACUGGGAGUAAUACCGGAUGAGCCCUUUGGGGGAAAGAUUUAUCGUCGAAGGAUCGGCCCGCGUUGUAUUAGUUAGUUGGUGGGGUAAUGGCCUACGAAGCCUACAAUCCAUAGAUGGUUUGAGAGGAUGAUCAGCCACACUGGGAAUGAGACCCGUCCCAGACGCCUACGGGAAGCAGCAGUGGGGAAUCUUAGACAAUGGAGCAAACCCUGCUCUAGCCAUGCGGCGUGAGCGAUGAAGGCCUUAGGGUUGUAAAGCUCUUUCAGCUGGGAAGAUAAUGACGGUACCAACAGAAGAAGCCCCGGCUAAAUCCGUG